UACGGAGGAUGCGAGCGUUAUCCGGAUUUAUUGGGUUUAAAGGGUGCGUAGGCGGUAUGGUAAGUCAGCGGUAAAAGCCCGGGGCUCAACCCCGGCGAGCCGUUGAAACUGCCGUGCUAGAGAGGAAGAGAAGUAGGCGGAAUGCGCAGUGUAGCGGUGAAAUGCAUAGAUAUCGCGCAGAACCCCGAUUGCGAAGGCAGCGUGCCGUGCCGCCACUGACGCUGAGGCACGAAAGCGCGGGGAUCGAACAGG
rnacentral:rRNA from 1 species